UACGUAGGGACCAAGCGUUGUUCGGAUUUACUGGGCGUAAAGGGCGCGUAGGCGGCAAUUCGUAAGUCAAUCGUGUGAAAUCUCCGGGACUUCAACCCGGAACGGUCGAGAUGAUACUGCUUUGACUAGAGUGGCGGGAAGGGGCAAUCGGAAUUCUCGGGUGUAGCGGUGAAAUGCGUAGAUAUCGAGAGGAACACCUGAG
rnacentral:rRNA from 1 species